AAUAGGGGAGCCGAAGGGAAACCGAGUCUUAACUGGGCGUUAAGUUGCAGGGUAUAGACCCGAAACCCGGUGAUCUAGCCAUGGGCAGGUUGAAGGUUGGGUAACACUAACUGGAGGACCGAACCGACUAAUGUUGAAAAAUUAGCGGAUGACUUGUGGCUGGGGGUGAAAGGCCAAUCAAACCGGGAGAUAGCUGGUUCUCCCCGAAAGCUAUUUAGGUAGCGCCUCGUGAAUUCAUCUCCGGGGGUAGAGCACUGUUUCGGCAAGGGGGUCAUCCCGACUUACCAACCCGAUGCAAACUGCGAAUACCGGAGAAUGUUAUCACGGGAGACACACGGCGGGUGCUAACGUCCGUCGUGAAGAGGGAAACAACCCAGACCGCCAGCUAAGGUCCCAAAGUCAUGGUUAAGUGGGAAACGAUGUGGGAAGGCCCAGACAGCCAGGAUGUUGGCUUAGAAGCAGCCAUCAUUUAAAGAAAGCGUAAUAGCUCACUGGUCGAGUCGGCCUGCGCGGAAGAUGUAACGGGGCUAAACCAUGCACCGAAGCUGCGGCAGCGACGCUUAUGCGUUGUUGGGUAGGGGAGCGUUCUGUAAGCCUGUGAAGGUGGCCUGUGAGGGUUGCUGGAGGUAUCAGAAGUGCGAAUGCUGACAUAAGUAACGAUAAAGCGGGUGAAAAGCCCGCUCGCCGGAAGACCAAGGGUUCCUGUCCAACGUUAAUCGGGGCAGGGUGAGUCGACCCCUAAGGCGAGGCCGAAAGGCGUAGUCGAUGGGAAACAGGUUAAUAUUCCUGUACUUGGUGUUACUGCGAAGGGGGGACGGAGAAGGCUAUGUUGGCCGGGCGACGGUUGUCCCGGUUUAAGCGUGUAGGCUGGU
rnacentral:rRNA from 1 species